AAACUUGUCCACUCCUUACGGGGGAGACAGUCAUGAGACGUGAGUAUAAGACCUGAGUGUAAAGACCUUAGGGUGAAGCAAUUGGAGGGCAAGCUUUGGUGCCAGCAGCCGCGGUAACUCCAACUCCAAGAGUGUCUAUGGUGGAUGCUGCAGUUAAAGGGUCCGUAGUCGUGAAUGCAAUUAAAUGUCGUUGUUCAAUAGCGAUGAGUUUGCUAAUGUUUGCGGAACGGAUAGGGAGUGUAGUAUAGACUGGCGAAGAAUGAAAUCUCAAGACCCAGUUUGGACUAACGGAGGCGAAGGCGACACUCUUAGACGUAUCUUAGGAUCAAGGACGAAGGCAGGAGUAUCGAAAGUGAUUAGACACCGCUGUAGUUCCUGCAGUAAACUAUGCCGACAGCCUGUGUGUGAGAAUACGUGGGCGGGAGAAAUCUUAGUGUUCGGGCUCUGGGGAUAGUACGCUCGCAAGGGUGAAACUUAAAGCGAAAUUGACGGAAGGACACUACCAGGAGUGGAUUGUGCUGCUUAAUUUAACUCAACGCGGGAAAACUUACCAGGGUCAAGUCAUUCGUUGAUCGAAUACGUGAGAAUGGCAGGAGUGGGUGCAUGGA
rnacentral:rRNA from 1 species